AUGUGGGGUUGCACAGACAACUAGGAUGUUAGCUUAGAAGCAGCUAUUCAUUCAAAGAGUGCGUAAUAGCUCACUAGUCGAGUGACCCUGCGCCGAAAAUGUACCGGGGCUAAAACAAUUUACCGAAGCUGUGGAUACCUUUAUAGGUAUGGUAGGAGAGCGUUCUAUGUGUGAUGAAGGUAUACCGUGAGGAGUGCUGGAACGCAUAGAAGUGAGAAUGCCGGUAUGAGUAGCGAAAGACAGGUGAGAAUCCUGUCCACCGUAAGACUAAGGUUUCCAGGGGAAGGCUCGUCCGCCCUGGGUUAGUCGGGACCUAAGGAGAGACCGAAAGGUGUAUCCGAUGGACAACAGGUUGAUAUUCCUGUACUAGAGUAUGUAGUGAUGGAGGGACGCAGUAGGCUAACUAAAGCAGACGAU
rnacentral:rRNA from 1 species